CAGGGAUUGCCCCAGUAACGGCGAGUGAAGCGGCAGCAGCCCAGAUUUGAAAUCCGGCUUCGGCCCGAGUUGUAAUCUGCAGAGGAUGCUUCGGGGCGGGCGUCCCUCCGAGUCCCCUGGAACGGGGCGCCAGAGAGGGUGACAGCCCCGUACGGCCGGACGUGCCGCCCGCGCGAAGCUCCCUCGAAGAGUCGAGUAGUUUGGGAAUGCUGCUCAAAGCGGGAGGUAAAUUCCUUCCAAGGCUAAAUACCGGCCGGAGACCGAUAGCGCACAAGUAGAGUGAUCGAAAGAUGAAAAGCACUUUGGAAAGAGGGUUAAACAGUACGUGAAAUUGCUGAGAGGGAAGCGCCUGCGGCCAGACUCGCGCCUGCGGAUCAUCGGGUGCCUCGCGCCCGUGCACUCCGCCGGGACGCGGGCCAGCAUCGGCUCGGGCGGGGGACAAAAGCGGGGGGAACGUGGCCUCCCCCGGGAGGUGUUAUAGCCCCCCGCCCAAUGCCCCGCGGCGGGCCGAGGACCGCGCCGCUCCGGCGGCAAGGAUGCUGGCGUAAUGGCCGUCGGCG
rnacentral:rRNA from 1 species